rnacentral:misc_RNA from 1 species
GAUGAAGAACGCAGCGAAAUGCGAUAAGUAGUGUGAAUUGCAGAUUUCAGUGAAUCAUCGAAUCUUUGAACGCAUAUUGCGCUCUCUGGUAUUCCGGAGAGCAUGCUUGUUUGAGUAUCAGUAAACACCUCAACUUCCAUAUCUUUUUUGAAAUGGGAGUUGGACUUGAGUGAUCCCAACGCUUUUCCUCACCGAAAAGUGGCGGGUUACUUGAAAUGCAGGUGCAGCUGGACUUUUCUCUGAGCUAUAAGCAUAUCUAUUUAGUCUGCCUAAAAAACAGAUUAUUACCUUUGCUGCAGCUAACAUAAAGGAGAUUAGUUCUUGUGCUGACUGAUGCAGGAUUCACAAAGACAGCUUCGGCCGACUUUGUAAACUCGAUCUCAAAUCAAGUAAGACUACCCGCUGAACUUAAGCAUAUCAAUAAGCGGAGGA